GUCCAGGGAUGGGAAUCGAACCCACAGUAUCCGGGCAGAUGCCAUGUCCACUAGGCUACCCUGGA